rnacentral:rRNA from 1 species
GAUGAACGCUGGCGGCGUGCCUAAUACAUGCAAGUCGAGCGAACGGACGAGAAGCUUGCUUCUCUGAUGUUAGCGGCGGACGGGUGAGUAACACGUGGAUAACCUACCUAUAAGACUGGGAUAACUUCGGGAAACCGGAGCUAAUACCGGAUGAUAUUUUGAACCGCAUGGUUCAAAAGUGAAAGACGGUCUUGCUGUCACUUAUAGAUGGAUCCGCGCUGCAUUAGCUAGUUGGUAAGGUAACGGCUUACCAAGGCAACGAUGCAUAGCCGACCUGAGAGGGUGAUCGGCCACACUGGAACUGAGACACGGCCCAGACUCCUACGGGAGGCAGCAGUAGGGAAUCUUCCGCAAUGGGCGAAAGCCUGACGGAGCAACGCCGCGUGAGUGAUGAAGGUCUUCGGAUCGUAAAACUCUGUUAUUAGGGAAGAACAUAUGUGUAAGUAACUGUGCACAUCUUGACGGUACCUAAUCAGAAAGCCACGGCUAACUACGU